GGGCGCUCCCGAGGGAAAAGCCAACACGGGCCCUGAGAAAAGCUGGCGGCUCUUUGGGGACCCCCAGCGCCGCCUGGCACGGACCCCCUCCUCUCCCCCUCCCUUGCCCAGGCUCCCUCCCUGUACGAACCCCUCGAAUUUGUCCUGUGCGGGCCUUCGUUUCCAAGAAAUUCCUAAUGUGCCUCCCAAUAAUCCACUCUGAAAUCGUAGCAAGAAGCCCUUCUCACAGAAGAGGAAACUGAGUCCUGCAAAAGUUCCGCAGCGCUUGAGAAGUCCGACGAACAUGGCCCAUGGGAGAGCCUCAGUAAGUCCCUGCUGAGCCCAAUGGAAAGGAAUGUACCCUGCGGAGCCCCCAUCGGAGGAGCACCAUGUUCAGUUCCCAGCGGCACAUUUUAGGAAGAACAUUGAUCAGUUGGACCGAGUCCAGAGCAGGGCGACCCAGAUGGCAGAGGCCCCCACGAGGACUGGGACGGGGAGGCCUGAGAGCAGCUGACUUGGGGAGAUCCAACUCAUUGUCUGCCAGUCUUUCAUAGGUUUUCAUCCAGGAGCUAAGCUCUGCUCUAUCUCGGAAGCAGAAUUAGGAACCAAAAAUGAUAAGUCACAUUUCUUUAUUUCUAUCCGGUUUGCAAAGCACUUGAUGCCUUCUCUAUCCGUUUCCAGGGAGGCCUCCUGGGAGACCAGUUGGAACCCAAUGCUGGUUACUAACUUCACAAAAGGACUUUUUUUUCCUUUACAAAAUAAUAAAGGAUUUAAAGGUGGAACAAAUCCUACAAAUGGGAUUUUCAAAUGGAAGGAACAUCCUCAUUCCAUCCAUUAAAAAAUCCUAGGGAAGAGAGGGAGGGGGAAAGUCGGAACAGAAGUGAGUGCAAGGGAUAAUGUUGUAAAAAAAAUUACCCAGACAUGGGUUCUGUCAAUAAAAAGUUAUAAUUAAAAAAAAAAGAUAACUAGAAAAUUAAAAAAAAUCCUAGGAGGGGGCACUAAGAUGAUCCCCAUUUUACAGAGGAGGAAACUGUGACCCAAAGAAAUUCGAUGAUUUACUCAGGGUUGAGCAGACCAUUAGGCGUCUGAAGUGGGAUUCAAGCCCAUAUUUUGCCUUAUUCAUUUCUUUAUUCCUUGAACCUUGCUAGAGUGUAUAGAGGUUGUGUGGGGCAGAGGCUGGUUUGGACUGGAUGGAAGGAAAACUCCCUAACAUGUAGAGCUCUGCCAGUGAACCUUUGGCCCCAGGGGGUGAUGGGCUCCGUCGCUGAUGAUCUUGCAACAAAGGCUGGGAGACCAUUUGUCAGGGGAGUGGUAGAGGGAGUUCUGGAUCAGGUAAGGGUCGGAAAAUAUUCAUCGCUAAUGGAUCCACACGCAUUUAUUAAGCAUCUACUGUGUGCCAGGUACCGAGAACACAGACCAAAGAAAACAGAAAAGCAGCCGGUCUCUAUUGGGAAGAGGCUGGGAUUCCACCACAGAAGAUAACAGGAUGGGGCAAGACUGGAUAGCCGGUCUCUAGCGUCACCUCCAGUGGGACUCAGGAUUAAGCUGGGGAUCCUUCGGCCUGCAGGAGAACAGCCUUCCCGAAGCAGCUGGCGCACCCCAGCCUAAGAAUUGGGGGCUUUUUAAGGAUCUUGCUUUUUCUUGAGAGACCGAGACCAGAGGCGGGGUGAUGUCCCAAGUAUCCCGGGCUUAAGCUUCAGAGGCAGAUAAAGCAGGUUCUCUAAGGGCGAAGCUGGUGGGACAUCCCGUUCAGCAGCCUAUCUGUUGUCUUUCAGAGGGUCCGACUCCCACCAGACGUUGAAGUCCUUGGGAUCAGGGACUGCCUUUGGUCACUCUUUGUAGCUCCACUGCCUAGCACAGUGGCUGGCACAUAGUAGGAACUUAAUAAAUGUUGCUGACUGACUUAACUGACUUUAUUUUUAAGAGCUUUCAGAUGGGCAGGUGUGGAUGUUCACUUUUAAGGAGAUUCAGAAUCUGAAUGUGUCUUGGCUAACUGCGUGACUUUAGGCCAAAACACUUAACAUCCCCGGGACUCAGUUUCCCCAUCCAAAAAAAUGGGGCUGAUAAUACUUGCACUACUUAAUUUGCAGAGUUGAAGGAAAUUUUUUUAUGUCUGAAGGCAUGAUGAAAGCUCACCUCAAUUAUUAUAAUUAUAAGCAUUCCUCCACCAAUGUUCUCUGAUGCAUCUUGGGGAAGUGGAGGGGAUCCUGAGCUCCCAAAAGCCAUGACGAUGGAAGCCAAGCUCCGGCAGGCCCAGCUACGGAUGUCGGUCAUUCAAGAACGGCCUCACAAAGAUCACAGAGUUAUAGAGAGAGUAGGGGUCUGUUCCACGAAAUCUAAAGUUAUAAUCAUGAUUAACCCUGCUCCCAUCCCCGCCUACUUCCAGUCUGUGGCUAACAGGUGCAGCUUCUGGAAGGCUGCCCCACCCUCCAGGUCCUUCCUCUCUUCUAGACCUUCCAACCUUCCCAGCCUCCUCAAAGUCCCUCUGAGACCCACGGCUCCAGAAGAACAGAAAAAUCAUUUUUGUCAACAGGAACUUGACUUUGGAAGCUGGUCUGAAAAAGAGGUGGGGGUUGUCUCCACCAUCUCAAGAUGAGCCCAGCUGUAGGUGCUGUGCCAACCGCCAAAAGCUCAUGUGAUGUCAAGACUCUGAAGAGCACCAGAGUGGGAUGACUACGAUGAGGUGGAUGGAAAGUACAGCAACCACAAAAAAAUCAAAGAGGAAUGUUUCAAAAUGACCAAGGACAAGCUUGGCAGCCCCAAAAAGGCUUCCACCACACGUUGGCAGAGCUAGGGGAGGGUGCCAUGGGUGGAGAGCUGUAAAUCUAUUGUCAGCUUUUUUUUUUUUCAAUAUAUUCAUCAGUUUUGCUGAUUUUUCCCCCUCUUUUUUUUUUUAAUCAUCGUUAUAAGGGACGAG
ensembl:lncRNA